rnacentral:lncRNA from 1 species
AUGAAUCGGAGGGCCGCACCCUGUAAGUCUGGGAGGCUGGGAGGGCUGGCAGCAACAGGUUGGGCAUGGGAUGGCACUCUAUGGGUUACAUUAAACCAAUCCCAGGGUGGGAAGAGCCCACUGCCAGAGUGUGCAAUGUGGACACGGGCCGGGGAAGGAGAAGGUGCGAUGGGAAUGGUGGGCCAAGUUCCUGAGGUACAUGUAGCAGUCCUCUUUUGUGUUCCUUCUCUGCUCAGUGAGCUGCCCUCCGGCUGGACUCGUGCCACCUCGCCUUCAUCAGCUGGGGAGGUCCCGAAGGCCAGCAGGCCCCUGAGCACGAGGGCUCCCACGGGCUAUAUCAUCCGUGGAGUAUUCACCAAGCCUGUGGACAGCUCGUCCCAGCCUCACCAGCACUUCCCCAAGGCCAAUGGAGCCCCCAAAAGCACGGCCAGUCUGGGGAAAGCAGCUCCCACUGGCCCUCCCCGCCCUUCCUCCUCUGGCUACAAGAUGACCACAGAGGAUUACAAGAAGCUGGCCCCCUACAACAUCAGGUGCAGCUCAGCAUCAAGAGCUGCUGAAGAGGAGGAGGUACGCUUCUCUUCUGAUGAGCAGAAACGGAGGUCCGAGGCUGCCAGCAGUGUGGUGAGGAAGACAGCUCCCCGGGAGCACUCCUACGUCCUGUCAGCGGCCAAGAAGAACGCUGGCAGCCCUGCCCAGGAGACACUGGCCCCGUUCAUUGCCAAGAGUGCAAGAGGUGAGGAGACUGUCCGCCUGCAGAUCACAACACUCGGAGCAGGACUCCACCUGGUGGCCCCACACCUGGAAGGAAUGAGGUCUUCCUCAGGUUCCAAAGACAAAGAGGUCCCUCACCCCAGAGAGCCCAAGAGAAACCUGACUAGUGAAGGAGCCUUCAGGAGCCCUGAUGCAGACUCUGAAAGAUCAAUUGCACAGUCAGGUGAUGGCAACAUGGGAUCGGAAGCCAUGGGUGCCCCAGAUGAAGACUUGGUUGGAGCAGACGUCAGCUCUGGGAGAGGAAGGCCGUGUUCACCUGCUGGCUUCACCCCUCUCCUGGAUGAUCAGGAGGUGCCCAGUGCCGACUCACAACCUUGCAAGCCUGCACCAGCAACCACCAGCUCUGAUGCCAUUUCGGCCUCUGCUAUCCUAGCCAACAGGAAGAGCAACAGCCUGGCAGACCUGGAGGAUACGGAGACAAAUCCAAAGGGCACCUUGGUUGUUUUUGAGGAGAAGAAUGUGGUUACCAAGGUGGGAGAGGCAUGGCAGGGGAGGCCCCGAGUCCUGCAAGAUGAUCAAGGAGACCCAGCUGUACCCACCCAGCAGUGCACAGACCCCAGCACCUCAGAGCAGAGCAGCCCCAGAAAUCCUGAGCAGCACCUGGAAGUGGACAGCCUGGUCAACAGCACCUUGGUUGUUUUUGAGAAGAAUGUGGUCACCAAGGUGGGAGAGGCAUGGCAGGGGAGCCCUGGAGUCCUGCAAGAUGAUCAAGGAGACGCAGCUGUACCCACCCAGCAGUGCACAGACCCCAGCACCUCAGAGCAGAGCAGCCCCAGAAAUCCUGAGCAGCGCCUGGAAGUGGACAGCCCGACCAACAGGAUGAGAAACUCCUCGAGCUGUACGGUCUCUGUUCCCAGCCCUGCCCCUCCUGAGCAGCAUCCUUUUCACAUGCCAGCCUCCCCAAGUGAACUGGAGCCCAACUCAACCAGCAAAGGGAUUCUCUUUGUGAAGGAGUAUGUGAAUGCUGGUGAGGUAUCUUCCAGGAAGCCACUGUCUUCAUUCUAUGGCAGCAUUGGCAGCAAUGAGGACUCAUGCAACAUGGAGGAGAAACUCCCAUAUGAUGGUACUCCAUACUCUGAGAGAACAAGUGGAGGGAUCUGUACUUACUGCAACCGGGAGAUCGGAGACUGUCCAAAGAUUACCCUAGAACACCUUGGCAUCUGCUGCCAUGACUAUUGCUUUAAGUGUGGGAUUUGCAGUAAACCAAUGGGUGAGCUUCUGGAUCAGAUCUUCAUUCACCGUGAUACCAUCCACUGUGAGAAAUGCUAUGAGAAGCUGUUCUAG